rnacentral:misc_RNA from 1 species
UCUAUGGAGUUAAUACUUUAUAGUAAUUAACUAGUUUUAAUGACCGUUAUGUUUAGUUUUCAGAGAUUAGUUUCUCUGACAAUAACAAGUAAAUGUUAUUGGAAUUGUUCUUUGAAAACUGGAUAAUAGACAUCUAGUUAUUUUAAUCACAUGAUUAAAAUAACAAUAAUUCAAAAUUUCUGUUAUUUUUAAAAAAUAACUAAAAUUUCACAGUUAUAUUUGUAAAUGAUUCUCAAAAAACUGAUUUAAAAUCAGGUCAAAUAAUUUAUAAAACUUUGAAGUUACAAAGGGCGUAUGGUGAAUGCCUUG